rnacentral:rRNA from 1 species
AACGAACGCUGGCGGCAGGCUUAACACAUGCAAGUCGAACGCAUCCUUCGGGGUGAGUGGCAGACGGGUGAGUAACGCGUGGGAACGUGCCCUUCAGUUCGGGAUAACCCAGGGAAACUUGGGCUAAUACCGGAUACGUGCGAGAGCAGAAAGAUUUAUCGCUGAAGGAUCGGCCCGCGUCUGAUUAGCUAGUUGGUGGGGUAAUGGCCCACCAAGGCGACGAUCAGUAGCUGGUCUUAGAGGAUGACCAGCCACAUUGGGACUGAGACACGGCCCAAGCUCCUACGGGAGGCAGCAGUGGGGAAUAUUGGACAAUGGGCGCAAGCCUGAUCCAGCCAUGCCGCGUGAGUGAUGAAGGCCUUAGGGUUGUAAAGCUCUUUCGUCCGGGACGAUAAUGACGGUACCGGAAGAAGAAGCCCCGGCUAACUUCGUGCCAGCCGCCGCAGUAA